rnacentral:rRNA from 1 species
GACGAACGCUGGCGGCGUGCUUAACACAUGCAAGUCGAGCGGUAAGGCCCUUUCGGGGGUACACGAGCGGCGAACGGGUGAGUAACACGUGGGUGACCUGCCCUCAGCUCUGGGAUAAGCCUGGGAAACCGGGUCUAAUACCGGAUAUGACUCCAUGACGCAUGUUGUGGGGUGGAAAGCCUUGUGCGGCUGAGGAUGGGCCCGCGGCCUAUCAGCUUGUUGGUGGGGUGAUGGCCUACCAAGGCGACGACGGGUAGCCGGCCUGAGAGGGGGACCGGCCACACUGGGACUGAGACACGGCCCAGACUCCUACGGGAGGCAGCAGUGGGGAAUCUUGCGCAAUGGGCGAAAGCCUGACGCAGCGACGCCGCGUGAGGGAUGACGGCCU